CUGUAUCCUUACUAUGCCUCAGUACAUGAGACAGGGCUAUGGCAAGAUGCUUAUUGAUUUCAGUUAUUUGCUUUCCAAAGUCGAAGAAAAAGUUGGCUCCCCAGAACGUCCACUCUCAGAUCUGGGGCUUAUAAGCUAUCGCAGUUACUGGAAAGAAGUACUUCUCCGCUACCUGCAUAAUUUCCAAGGCAAAGAGAUUUCUAUCAAAGGUUGGUUUUUGACUCCUUGGAAUGGUUGAUUGUUACCCAGGAAGUUAACUCUACUGGGUAUUGUGUUUCCCCUGAAUGUGAGAACGGAAGGCCCACUGAAUAUGGACCACUGCGGAGACCCUCACUAAAGUUGCCUAGGAAUCCAAAGCAUUUGGCCCCUGGGAAUGGUUAUUAAUUGGCUUCUCAAAUCCAGAGUUGCCAACACUUUAAUUCUUAUAAAAGUCAAGAAGC
rnacentral:sRNA from 1 species